AUUGAACGCUGGCGGUAGGCCUAACACAUGCAAGUCGAACGGCAGCACAGGAGAGCUUGCUCUCUGGGUGGCGAGUGGCGGACGGGUGAGGAACACAUCGGAAUCUACUUUUUCGUGGGGGAUAACGUAGGGAAACUUACGCUAAUACCGCAUACGACCUACGGGUGAAAGCAGGGGACCUUCGGGCCUUGCGCGAUUGAAUGAGCCGAUGUCGGAUUAGCUAGUUGGCGGGGUAAAGGCCCACCAAGGCGACGAUCCGUAGCUGGUCUGAGAGGAUGAUCAGCCACACUGGAACUGAGACACGGUCCAGACUCCUACGGGAGGCAGCAGUGGGGAAUAUUGGACAAUGGGCGCAAGCCUGAUCCAGCCAUACCGCGUGGGUGAAGAAGGCCUUCGGGUUGUAAAGCCCUUUUGUUGGGAAAGAAAUCCAGCUGGCUAAUACCCGGUUGGGAUGACGGUGCCCAAAGAAUAAGCACCGGCUAACUUCGUGCCAGCCGCCGCGGUAA
rnacentral:rRNA from 1 species